UUAACUACCUGACAAGGGAGAUACUACGAUCAUAGAAGUGGUUUUCCCAGGGCAAGCCUUAUCCAUUGCACUCCAGAUGUGCUGACUCCUGCAGUUUCCCCAAAUGUGGGAAACUCGACUACAUAAUUUGUGGUAGUAGGGGACUGCGUUCAUGCUCUCCCCUA
ensembl:snRNA U1 U1 spliceosomal RNA